rnacentral:tRNA from 1 species
GAGGUUGUGGCUCAGUGGUAGAGUGCUUGCCUAGCAUGUGUGAGGCACUGGGUUCAAUCGUCAGCACCACA